UCCGUAGCCGGUUUGAUCAGUCUUUUGGGAAAUCUGACAGCUUAACUGUUAGGCUUCCAAAGGAUACUGUCAGACUUGGGACCGGGAGAGGUAAGAGGUACUACAGGGGUAGGAGUGAAAUCUUGUAAUCCCUGUGGGACCACCAGUGGCGAAGGCGUCUUACCAGAACGGGUCCGACGGUGAGGGACGAAAGCUGGGGGCACGAACAGGAUUAGAUACCCUGGUAGUCC
rnacentral:rRNA from 1 species